UCCUCGUUCCCCAAUGGCCACCGUACGUCCUUUCCCAGCUCCACGUCUCCACCAGACACCGGUCCACCCCCGCCGCUCGCCGCGGCCCGGACGGUGCCCAGACGAGCAACCUCCGCCCGCCGCCUAGGGAUGUGCCGCAACCAGCAGCGCGCAGGUGUCGUCGGCGUUCCCUACAUCGGUACGCUCCCAGUCAACUUUCUCCGCCUCCCUUGCGCCCUCGGAGUGAAACGCAGCAAUUGUUAGGAUCAAUCGAAUUGUGGAACAGGAACACAAUCUGACUAGACGCCAGACAUUGACCACUGAACUGAAUGCCGCUGGUGAAAUUUUUUGAUUGCUCGCUGUAAGCCGUGUAUUGGAGUCGUAGUGGCAUUUUGGAUUGUUUCUUUUUUCAUGUUCCCAUGAAAUGAAACAUUAUGGGGAACUAUAAAAAAAACUUGAAGGAACUGUUAUUUUUCUUGACAUUGACAUUUCGUUUUAAUAAUUUUCUUAGCAGGUAACAAACAAAUUAUGUAGUCACUCUGAGACCUCGCUGCAAAUAUACUUUUAAUGUGAUGUUGGUAUUUAAUGUUUAUGGGUGUGUUUAGGUGCCUUCCUGCAACUAUUAUUAGUAGUGUUUUUUCCCCUUUGCGGAACUGUUAUUAAGACUGUUUGUUAUAGUGAAAAAGAGUAUACUAUGCAUGGAGAAAAUUCAUUGUAAUCGAGGCUUGAGAAUGAAAUGUGGUUGAAUGGAGCUGCUUCACAACCUUGUUUUCAUUUCUUCAAUGUAAAACUAGUAUGGUCUCAAUAUGAAUCUCUGGCAGAAGCAAUGGGAGGAACAUGCGCUACAGUGCUAGGAUCAUCAUUUGGAAUAAGCCAUGAGAUUGUCCUAGUAGUGACUAGAUUCCCUAUACUACUUGAUUGACACUUCCUCAACCAUCAUAUAGCUGGUACUGAAAAGGUUUGGUCCGUGUUAUAAGAUCAAUUAUUCUCCAUUGAAUCUUGACAUAUUGAACGGCCAAGUUGACUUCCUAUGGACUGAAUUUGUCAAAAAAAGAAAACUUCUUAGGAUACUAGUGUUCAAACUUCUCAACUUUGUGAGAACGUGUCUUUUGUUUUUACUGUCAUUCUGGAAAGUCGAAAGUAUAUUUCUGGUUCCUAAGAUUUUCUCUCAUACUGGGCGAAAUAUUCAACUGUAUCACGUUUAUUUCUGUAAAUAAACACAUCAUGCUGCAAUCCUACUUCAUGAAAAAAAACAAAGUCAAACUUCUAAACUUAAGCCGUUGGUGUUUCAUUUCCCAUGUCAAACUUCUACACUUAAGCUCAAAAUUUCAUUAUAUUGCAGUGUCUUGUGCAUGGCUGGUUCGGAUCCGAUGAUUGAGAAUAAGACCGUUACCCUCAUCUUACUGUUAUUUGGGCUGCCGCGUAGCCAUGUUAAAGUUGUGAGGCCAGUUGAUGAACUGUUGCAAUAGGCCUCACCGCCUCAAGUGGACUCUUAGGGCACCUCCAGUGCUGGUUCGACUUGUGCAGGCCACGUAAAUCGAGCAAUGCUUCAGUUCGAUAGCUGCAGUGCUAACAUCGGUUCGUGGGACCCGCAUAAAAAAACUCUCAACACCUGCGCCCAUCCUUCUUCGCUCAAACUGAUGCAAAAAUCGGCCAGCGCUCUUGUCCGUGUCUCGGUCCCCUUUCUUUCUCCUCUCUCUUCCCCACCUUCCAAUCCGGUAAUGCAUCUUGAAAUUUAGCCAUGGUCAAGAGCAGAUCGAGCCAACCAGCUGCAGAUCCAAGAAGAUCAGGUCCUUCGCAGUGCUCAUGCGGCUGGCUACUAGGGCCAGCCGAGGAGAUGAGUGCUUCGAGGGCCUCCUUGUGGAGGCGAUGCUCGUCAGGCUCAACCCGCUCAAGCACGUGGCUCCCGUCUGGUUGACGACGUCACCGGCGCCGAGGAGGAUAUGCUCCUAGGCAUCUGCCAUGACCUGUACAUCAAGGAGGUUCUUGGUCCAGAUACAUGCAAACCUGGAUCGAUUUCUUUGUUUUUUUCCAAGUCCAAGAAACAUUUCAGAUCAAUUUCCUUUUCUAUUUGUUAGCCUGUUUCUUUAAAGCAUUCGGAUCAAUUUUUCUCUUCGUUUCGAUCUUGUUUGUUCAUGGGGUUGUGUGAAAGAACAGGAUCGCAGUUGUGCUAAUCGCGGAUCCCGCCACAUCUGCAUCGUUGACGAUUA